AAACGUAUGGCUUAGUGGUAAGAGCGCUAACGAUAGUUUUCAAAAGGCGCGGGUUCGAAUCCCGCUAGGUAAA
rnacentral:tRNA from 1 species